rnacentral:rRNA from 1 species
UACGUAGGGUGCGAGCGUUGUCCGGAAUUAUUGGGCGUAAAGAGCUCGUAGGCGGUUUGUCGCGUCUGCUGUGAAAACCUCAGGCUCAACCUGGGGCUUGCAGUGGGUACGGGCAGACUAGAGUGCGGUAGGGGUGACUGGAAUUCCUGGUGUAGCGGUGGAAUGCGCAGAUAUCAGGAGGAACACCGAUGGCGAAGGCAGGCCACUGGGCCGCAACUGACGCUGAGGAGCGAAGGCUAGGGUAGCAAACAGG